rnacentral:tRNA from 1 species
CGCGCGGUAGCUCAGCGGUAGAGCACCUGGUCGACAUCCAGGGGGUCCGUGGUUCAAUCCCACGUCGCGUGACCA